rnacentral:rRNA from 1 species
UACGAAGGGGGGCUAGCGUUGCUCGGAAUGACUGGGCGUAAAGGGCGCGUAGGCGGAUGGUACAGUCAGAUGUGAAAUUCCUGGGCUCAACCUGGGGGCUGCAUUUGAUACGUGCUGUCUUGAGUUCGGAAGAGGGUCGUGGAAUUCCCAGUGUAGAGGUGAAAUUCGUAGAUAUUGGGAAGAACACCGGUGGCGAAGGCGGCGACCUGGUCCGAUACUGACGCUGAGGCGCGAAAGCGUGGGGAGCAAACAGG